rnacentral:rRNA from 1 species
GCCUAAUACAUGCAAGUAGAACGCUGAAGAGAGGAGCUUGCUCUUCUUGGAUGAGUUGCGAACGGGUGAGUAACGCGUAGGUAACCUGCCUUGUAGCGGGGGAUAACUAUUGGAAACGAUAGCUAAUACCGCAUAACAAUGGAUGACACAUGUCAUUUAUUUGAAAGGGGCAAAUGCUCCACUACAAGAUGGACCUGCGUUGUAUUAGCUAGUAGGUGAGGUAACGGCUCACCUAGGCGACGAUACAUAGCCGACCUGAGAGGGUGAUCGGCCACACUGGGACUGAGACACGGCCCAGACUCCUACGGGAGGCAGCAGUAGGGAAUCUUCGGCAAUGGGUGCAACCCUGACCGAGCAACGCCGCGUGAGUGAAGAAGGUUUUCGGAUCGUAAAGCUCUGUUGUAAGUCAAGAACGAGUGUGAGAGUGGAAAGUUCACACUGUGACGGUAGCUUACCAGAAAGGGACGGCUAACUACGUGCCAGCAGCCGCGGUAAUACGUAGGUCCCGAGCGUUGUCCGGAUUUAUUGGGCGUAAAGCGAGCGCAGGCGGUUUGAUAAGUCUGAAGUUAAAGGCUGUGGCUCAACCAUAGUUCGCUUUGGAAACUGUCAAACUUGAGUGCAGAAGGGGAGAGUGGAAUUCCAUGUGUAGCGGUGAAAUGCGUAGAUAUAUGGAGGAACACCGGUGGCGAAAGCGGCUCUCUGGUCUGUAACUGACGCUGAGGCUCGAAAGCGUGGGGAGCGAACAGGAUUAGAUACCCUGGUAGUCCACGCCGUAAACGAUGAGUGCUAGGUGUUGGAUCCUUUCCGGGAUUCAGUGCCGCAGCUAACGCAUCAAGCACUCCGCCUGGGGAGUACGACCGCAAGGUUGAAACUCAAAGGAAUUGACGGGGGCCCGCACAAGCGGUGGAGCAUGUGGUUUAAUUCGAAGCAACGCGAAGAACCUUACCAGGUCUUGACAUCCCGAUGCUAUUUCUAGAGAUAGAAAGUUACUUCGGUACAUCGGUGACAGGUGGUGCAUGGUUGUCGUCAGCUCGUGUCGUGAGAUGUUGGGUUAAGUCCCGCAACGAGCGCAACCCCUAUUGUUAGUUGCCAUCAUUCAGUUGGGCACUCUAGCGAGACUGCCGGUAAUAAACCGGAGGAAGGUGGGGAUGACGUCAAAUCAUCAUGCCCCUUAUGACCUGGGCUACACACGUGCUACAAUGGUUGGUACAACGAGUUGCGAGUCGGUGACGGCAAGCUAAUCUCUUAAAGCCAAUCUCAGUUCGGAUUGUAGGCUGCAACUCGCCUACAUGAAGUCGGAAUCGCUAGUAAUCGCGGAUCAGCACGCCGCGGUGAAUACGUUCCCGGGCCUUGUACACACCGCCCGCCACACCACGAGAGUUUGUAACACCCGAAGUCGGUGAGGUAACCUUUUGGAGCCAGCCGCCUAAGGUGGGAUAGAUGAUUGGGGUGAAGA